UCCCUCCUCCUACUUUAGGCAGCCUUUUUGAAUAUUGUUCCCUUGGCGCAAUCCUUCCCCAGCAACUCCGCGUGAAGGACUCCGUCUUUCGGGUUUUCCCCUUCUUUUCUCCGGGACGAAGCCCUUUCCGGUACCUGCGGCCUAAGCCACGGCUCCCUACGUGCCCGCCGCCGCGGUCCUCCGUAGGUGGCCCGCUUUAUCCGGAGUUCCUGGGUGUAACGGGCGUGUAGGCGGUGCCGCAAGUAAGAGGGGAAAACCAGGGGCGCAACCUGGGGCGUGCAUUUGAAAGUGUGUUUCUGGAGUACUGGAGAGGAAGACGGAAGUAAGAGUGUAGCGGUGAAAUGCGUAGAGAGGAGGAGGAACAACAGGGGCGAAGGAGGGAGGCUGGACAGAAAAUGACGCUGAGGCGCGAAAGCGUGGGGAGAAAACAGGAUGAGAUACCCGGGGA
rnacentral:rRNA from 1 species